rnacentral:lncRNA from 10 species
CAGGCCCCAGCUCCUCUGUUCUGCCCAGUGGCCUGGCGCAGGAAAGGUGACCCAGUAGUUCAGCCUGUCCCAGCUGCCUGCCCCAGCACCAUCCCAGACCCCUUUCCCUGGGGCCCACCUUGGCCCUGAGGAAGGCCAGAGCUCGGCUGCUGUUCUCCAGGAAGUGCACACGCAGGCGGCCCCGGCUCGGGGGUGGCAGGGCCUCCCCUGAGAUGAGCUCCAGCAGCCGCAGGAGGUGGAUGCCGUCAGCCAGCUCUGUGUACAGGUUCCGGAUCUUGAUGCCCGCCUGGGGAGGGGACAGGGGAAGUCCCUCAUCCCACCCGCUUACCCCAGGGAGACUGAGCUUGUUCCUUCUCCUAGUAAGACCCUCAGCCCAUGGAGUCCUGUGUGAUGUUGUGAGCGUGGGAGGACAGACUGAACUGCUCGGCCCGUGGAGUCCUGUGUGAUGUUGUGAGCGGGGAGGACAGACUGAACUGCGUGGUGCUUCGCACAUAGACCUCAACAGGGAUUGGCAUUUUGAAGCUGUUGGCGGGGGCUGUGGACUGCUUUUCUUCCUUUCUAGCUCAACGGCAGCUAAAGCCACUGCAUACAAUGCAAGGACUGGCUCCUGUUUGGCCACGACUGAUUGCAGCCCCUGGUGAAAUGAGAACCCUGUGGGUCGGAACAAAGUUUGGAUUAUUUAUGUUGCAAGUAACUAAAAUCUCAAGUGAAACUGGUU